rnacentral:misc_RNA from 1 species
UCCGGUUUAGCACCGGCAGUCUUCCCAGAGUCCCCGGCAUGACCCGCUGGCAACUGAGAACGGGGGUUGCGCUCGUUGCGGGACUUAACCCAACAUCUCACGACACGAGCUGACGACAGCCAUGCAGCACCUGUGCAGGAACUCCGAAGAGGGGCCCUGGUUUCUCAGGGCUUUCUCCUGCAUGUCAAGCCUAGGUAAGGUUCUUCGCGUUGCGUCGAAUUAAACCACAUGCUCCACCGCUUGUGCGGGCCCCCGUCAAUUCCUUUGAGUUUCAGCCUUGCGGCCGUACUCCCCAGGCGGGGCACUUAAUGCGUUAGCGUCGACACUCAGGGGGUCGCUCCCCCAAGCAUCUAGUGCCCAUCGUUUACGGCGUGGACUAC